GUCUAUGUAAUUUAUCUAAAAUACCGGUCUUGUAAAUCGGAAAUAGGCACUCCCCUCUUAGACU
rnacentral:tRNA from 1 species